rnacentral:rRNA from 1 species
AUCGAUGAAGAACGCAGCGAAAUGCGAUAAGUAAUGUGAAUUGCAGAAUUCAGUGAAUCAUCGAAUCUUUGAACGCACAUUGCGCCCGCCAGUAUUCUGGCGGGCAUGCCUGUUCGAGCGUCAUUUCAACCCUCAAGCCCCCCGUAGGGCCUGGCGUUGGGGGACGGCACCCCUCACCGGGUGCCGCCCCCGAAAGACAGUGGCGGCCACGCCGUCUGCCUCCUCUGCGUAGUAGAAACACCUCGCACUGGGACGCGGCGCGGUCAUGCCGUAAAACUUCCAACUUCUGAAGGUUGACCUCGGAUCAGGUAGGAAUACCCGCUGAACUUAAGCAUAUCAAUAAGCGGAGGAAAAGAAACCAACAGGGAUUGCCCCAGUAACGGCGAGUGAAGCGGCAACAGCUCAAAUUUGAAAUCUGGCCCCCGGGUCCGAGUUGUAAUUUGCAGAGGAUGCUUUUGGCGAGGUGCCUUCCGAGUUCCCUGGAACGGGACGCCAUAGAGGGUGAGAGCCCCGUCCGGUUGGAUACCUAGCCUCUGUAAAGCUCCUUCGACGAGUCGAGUAGUUUGGGAAUGCUGCUCUAAAUGGGAGGUACAUGUCUUCUAAAGCUAAAUACCGGCCAGAGACCGAUAGCGCACAAGUAGAGUGAUCGAAAGAUGAAAAGCACUUUGAAAAGAGGGUUAAACAGUACGUGAAAUUGUUGAAAGGGAAGCGCUCGUGACCAGACUUGGGCCCGGUUAAUCAUCCAGCGUUCUCGCUGGUGCACUUUGCCGGCCCAGGCCAGCAUCAGUUCGUCGCGGGGGAUAAAGGCUUCGGGAACGUGGCUCCUCCGGGAGUGUUAUAGCCCGUUGCGUAAUACCCUGCGGUGGACUGAGGUUCGCGCAUCUGCAAGGAUGCUGGCGUAAUGGUCAUCAGCGACCCGUCUUGAAACACGG